UGAGGAAUAUUGGUCAAUGGGGGCAACCCUGAACCAGCCAAGUCGCGUGAAGGAUGAAGGUCUUAUGGAUUGUAAACUUCUUUUACACGGGAAUAAAGUGGGGGACGUGUCCCCCUUUGCAUGUACCGUGUGAAUAAGGAUCGGCUAACCCCGUGCCAGCAGCCGCGGUAAUACGGAGGAUCCGAGCGUUAUCCGGAUUUAUUGGGUUUAAAGGGUGCGCAGGCGGGAUGUUAAGUCGGCGGUGAAAUUUUGCAGCUCAACUGUAAAAGUGCCUUCGAUACUGGCCUCCUUGAGUGUGGAUGAAGUAGGCGGAAUUUGUGGUGUAGCGGUGAAAUGCUUAGAUAUCACGAGGAACUCCGAUUGCGCAGGCAGCUUACUAAGCAGAAUAUUGACGCCCAUGCACGAAAGCGUGGGGAUCAAACA
rnacentral:rRNA from 1 species